AGUACAUAGCUAUAGCCCUAAUGUCUGUGUACUCCGGUAGGACCAACUCAUCCUGCCAAACAGAGAAGUAGAGGCUGAGGCUUCAGUCCCACAUGGUUGUAAAUGUUUUGAGAUGCAAGAAGGGAAGAUGUCAUAGGCCAUGAAGACAGCAUCUCUGUGAGUGGCAUCCCGGGCCCAUCCUCAAUCUGGCUGGCUGGUCAGUGUGGACAUGGAGAUACGGACGUCUUGUGUUUGGACCAGGGAAAGCAUCACCUAUCUCUUGCUUCACAGGGAAAAGUGUGGUAUGUGGGGAAAUGCAGAAAUGAGCAAGCCCCAGCCCAGGCACUGGGUAAAGACAGAGGAACACUGGUAACAAUGAUACGUCACAUUUCCACGAGCACACCGUGCAUCUGAUCGUCGCCGUGACAGCGUCCCUAUUACUGUUAAAUGUUCAUGCCAAUUUUCUACAUGCCAAAAUUUAAUCCGGAAUAUUCAGCUACUCGGGUGAUGGCAUUCUUCUUUGCGUCCUAGAAGUAAAGAACACACAGCAGAUUCUUUGGAAAUUAAAUAUGCCUUUAUUCGCAAAUAUUUCAUUAAAGAGCCCGGAAGGACAAAAGAUGCCUAAACUGGCAGUUCAGUCUUUGCCGUCUGAGAACAAGUUCUUAGAAACUCCAAGAAAUGGGCACGGGGCUGUAUCAAGGGACUGGGAAAUUACUCAUUCUGAUAAAAUUCCAUUUUCUUAUUUCGGAGGGAACUGGGGAGAUGGUGUCCAAGAAAACAGGACAUUCCAUUGGGACUAGCUGCAUGGUGAGUUGCAACGUCUACCCACCGCGGGAUGUCAGUGAUACCCACAGCUCCGCCAUCCUCCCUGCAGCACUUGUGAUAACAAAACAAUAAUUUAUCAAUGGCCACAAGUUUGGCCUCUCACCCUGGUCAGAU
rnacentral:lncRNA from 1 species